rnacentral:lncRNA from 1 species
AGACCUAUGAAGGUCAAAGGGGAAGUUAAGAAAAGCUGUAUCGAUUGUUGAGAUCUGGCGACUUGCUUAAAUUUCAUCAGCCUCACUUCUAUGGACUCUCAGGACAAACUGCAAUAGAGUCGCAUCCAGUUGAGACUUCUCCAAGGGCCGUGGGGUUGACAUCUGUGGUCUCAGAGCUGAUUACCAACUCCUACCACUGUUAACCCUCAUCCAGGAACAAGCUUAUGUCUUUAACAUUCUGAGUGGGCUUCAGCAUCCUUGCAUAUGUUCAAUUCUUAAAAACCUGUUGAAAUAAAAGAUCAGGAGACAUAGGAGGGAUGCCAGAAGACAGCGUGGCCUCACGUGUACCAGCUCUCUGCUCUCCUUUGCCUUGGGACGUUCCAUCCCUGGAAGUUUCCCUGCCCACAUCUUUGUAGAGAGUCCAUUCUCCAAGCUUCAGUGUGUCAUCUGUUAGGACUAUGACCCACCUGGUACAUUACCUCAGGGCAUUCAUUUCAGGCUCCUUCUAAGUGGUCAAGGGUCUUCCUCUGCCACCCGGGCUGGAGUGUGCAGCAGCAUGACCAUGGCUCACUGCAGCUUCAACCUCUCAGGAUUAGGUAAACCUCAGGUUCUCCUCCUGCCUUUUGCUAAGUAUAUGUCUUGAUGACAAGCCUUCUGCUAAUGAGCUGUGUUUCUGGACCGAUCAUGGUAGAAGUCAAUUGAAGUGUCCCUCACUUGGGGUUUCUUAAGGACAUGCAAGGUCCUCAUGAUUGUCUCAAAACUAUAUAGAAUUGAGAAGCUGCACUGAUGAGGAAACUGAAACAGAAAAUCCAGAGUAAAUUCCACCAGGCCACACAGCAAGGUCUGAUAGAGCCAGGAGAGACUUUAUGAAAUCCAGACUCUCACACUAAUGCUCUAUCAGCUAGACCUCCAUGUGAGUCUCCCCAAUGUAGGUAGGAAGCACUUUCCC